AGUCUAACAGAAUCCUUUCUGCACCAACUAGAAUGAUUUAACACUCAGUGUGCGGAAACGCUUCUGCUCCACU
rnacentral:pre_miRNA from 13 species